GCAUAAUCAUUUGCCCGUUAAUUGCGGGCUAGUAUGAACGGGUAAACGAAAUAGAACCUGUCUCAAUUAAACUAACAAAAAUUAGCCUCUAGAUGAAGAGAUCUAAAUAUAAUUGAAGGACAAGAAGACCCUAUAGAGCUUUACUUUAAUAAGUUAUUAAAAUAACUUAUACAGUUCGGUUGGGGCGACCUAGGAAACACAUAUCAUCCUAUAACAUCAAGAUUCACAUAUCUUUAUACAUGACCCUAUAAUAGAUCAAAGGAAUAAGCUACCUUAGGGAUAACAGGCUAAUCCUCCCACAGAGACCUUAUCAACAGGAGGGAUUGGCACCUC
rnacentral:rRNA from 1 species